rnacentral:rRNA from 1 species
CCCUUAGAUGUCCGGGGCCGCACGCGCGCUACACUGAAGGAAUCAGCGUGGCUUUCUCCCUGACCCGAAAGGGUUGGGAAACCCGUUGAAUCUCCUUCGUGAUAGGGAUUGGGGCUUGAAAUUGUUCCCCAUGAACGAGGAAUUCCCAGUAAGCGCGAGUCAUAAGCUCGCGUUGAUUACGUCCCUGCCCUUUGUACACACCGCCCGUCGCUACUACCGAUUGAACGGUUUAGUGAGGGCCUCGGAUUGGUCUCGGCCCGCUCUUUACCGGGCGGCGCCGUUGGUCGAGAAGACGCUGGAACUUGAUCGUUUAGAGGAAGUAAAAGUCGUAACA